rnacentral:rRNA from 1 species
UACGUAGGGUGCGAGCGUUAAUCGGAAUUACUGGGCGUAAAGUGUGCGCAGGCGGCCGCGCAAGUCGAGUGUGAAAGCCCCGAGCUUAACUUGGGAACUGCGCUCGAAACUACGUGGCUGGAGUGUGGCAGAGGCAGGCGGAAUUCCGGGUGUAGCGGUGGAAUGCGUAGAGAUCCGGAAGAACACCGGUGGCGAAGGCGGCCUGCUGGGACAAUGCUGACGCUGAGGCGCGACAGCGUGGGGAGCAAACAGG